rnacentral:rRNA from 1 species
UACAGAGGGUGCAAGCGUUGUUCGGAAUUACUGGGCGUAAAGCGCGUGUAGGCUGCGGUGUAAGUCGGACGUGAAAGCCCUUGGCUUAACCAAGGAAGUGCGUCCGAUACUGCGUCGCUUGAGUGUCGGAGGGGGCGGCGGAAUUCCCGGUGUAGAGGUGAAAUUCGUAGAUAUCGGGAGGAACACCUGUGGCGAAGGCGGCCGCCUGGACGAUAACGUGACGCUGAGACGGCGAAAAGCGUGGGUAGCAAACGAGGA